GAUGAACGCUGGCGGCGUGCCUAAUACAUGCAAGUCGAGCGAACAGACGAGGAGCUUGCUCCUCUGACGUUAGCGGCGGACGGGUGAGUAACACGUGGAUAACCUACCUAUAUGACUGGGAUAACUUCGGGAAACCGGAGCUAAUACCGGAUAAUAUAAUGAACCGCAUGGUUCAAUAGUGAAAGACGGUUUUGCUGUCACUUAUAGAUGGAUCCGCGCCGCAUUAGCUAGUUGGUAAGGUAACGGCUUACCAAGGCAACGAUGCGUAGCCGACCUGAGAGGGUGAUCGGCCACACUGGAACUGAGACACGGUCCAGACUCCUACGGGAGGCAGCAGUAGGGAAUCUUCCGCAAUGGGCGAAAGCCUGACGGAGCAACGCCGCGUGAGUGAUGAAGGUCUUCGGAUCGUAAAACUCUGUUAUUAGGGAAGAACAAAUGUGUAAGUAACUAUGCACGUCUUGACGGUACCUAAUCAGAAAGCCACGGCUAACUACGUG
rnacentral:rRNA from 1 species